rnacentral:rRNA from 1 species
CUACGGGAGGCAGCAGUGGGGAAUAUUGGACAAUGGGGGAAACCCUGAUCCAGCAAUGCCGCGUGUGUGAAGAAGGCCUGCGGGUUGUAAAGCACUUUCGGUUGGGAGGACUGCUUCUAGCACUAAUAUUGUUGGAAGUUGACGUUACCUUCAGAAGAAGCACCGGCUAACUCCGUGCCAGCAGCCGCGGUAAUACGGGGGUGCAAGCGUUAAUCGGAAUUACUGGGCGUAAAGCGCGCGUAGGCGGCUAGAUCAGUCGGGUGUGAAAGCCCUGGGCUUAACCUGGGAACUGCAUCCGAUACUGUCUAGCUCGAGUACAGGAGAGGAGAGUGGAAUUCCACAUGUAGCGGUGAAAUGCGUAGAUAUGUGGAGGAACACCAAUGGCGAAGGCAGCUCUCUGGCCUGAUACUGACGCUGAGGUGCGAAAGCGUGGGGAGCAAACAGGAUUAGAUACCCCAGUAGUC